rnacentral:rRNA from 1 species
UGGGGAAUUUUGCGCAAUGGGCGAAAGCCUGACGCAGCAACGCCGCGUGUGUGAUGAAGGUCUUCGGAUUGUAAAGCACUUUCGACCGGGACGAAACCCUCAAGCUUAAUACGCUUGAGUCUGACGGUACCGGGAGAAGAAGCACCGGCUAACUCUGUGCCAGCAGCCGCGGUAAUACAGAGGGUGCAAGCGUUGUUCGGAAUUAUUGGGCGUAAAGCGCGUGUAGGCGGCUUUGCAAGUCGGGUGUGAAAGCCCUCGGCUCAACCGAGGAAGUGCGCCCGAAACUGCAGAGCUUGAGUGCCGGAGAGGAUGGCGGAAUUCCCCAAGUAGAGGUGAAAUUCGUAGAUAUGGGGAGGAACACCGGUGGCGAAGGCGGCCAUCUGGACGGCAACUGACGCUGAGACGCGAAAGCGUGGGGAGCAAACA